GAAAAAGGCGACAUUCUGCUUUCUGCUCCUGGCUUUUUUUACUUUUGUUUUUGCUUUUCUUUCCCAUUCUUCUCUCUUAUGAAUUCAGCAAGGGAUAUAGUUAGAUUGCUGAAGAAGUGGAUUGAUCGAAU
rnacentral:ribozyme from 14 species